GGUUAAGCGACUAAGCGUACACGGUGGAUGCCCUGGCAGUCAGAGGCGAUGAAGGACGUGCUAAUCUGCGAAAAGCGUCGGUAAGGUGAUAUGAACCGUUAUAACCGGCGAUGUCCGAAUGGGGAAACCCAGUGCAAUUCGUUGCACUAUCGUUAACUGAAUACAUAGGUUAACGAGGCGAACCGGGGGAACUGAAACAUCUAAGUACCCCGAGGAAAAGAAAUCAACCGAGAUUCCCCCAGUAGCGGCGAGCGAACGGGGAGCAGCCCAGAGUCUGAAUCAGCUUGUGUGUUAGUGGAACGGUCUGGAAAGUCCGACGGUACAGGGUGAUAGUCCCGUACACCAAAAUGCACAGGUUGUGAACUCGAAGAGUAGGGCGGGACACGUGGUAUCCUGUCUGAAUAUGGGGGGACCAUCCUCCAAGGCUAAAUACUCCUGAAUGACCGAUAGUGAACCAGUACCGUGAGGGAAAGGCGAAAAGAACCCCGGCGAGGGGAGUGAAAAAGAACCUGAAACCGUGUACGUACAAGCAGUGGGAGCACCUUCGGGUGUGACUGCGUACCUUUUGUAUAAUGGGUCAGCGACUUAUAUUCUGUAGCAAGGUUAACCGUAUAGGGGAGCCGCAGGGAAACCGAGUCUUAACUGGGCGUUAAGUUGCAGGGUAUAGACCCGAAACCCGGUGAUCUAGCCAUGGGCAGGUUGAAGGUUGGGUAACACUAACUGGAGGACCGAACCGACUAAUGUUGAAAAAUUAGCGGAUGACUUGUGGCUGGGGGUGAAAGGCCAAUCAAACCGGGAGAUAGCUGGUUCUCCCCGAAAGCUAUUUAGGUAGCGCCUCGUGAAUUCAUCUUCGGGGGUAGAGCACUGUUUCGGCUAGGGGGUCAUCCCGACUUACCAACCCGAUGCAAACUACGAAUACCGAAGAAUGUUAUCACGGGAGACACACGGCGGGUGCUAACGUCCGUCGUGAAGAGGGAAACAACCCAGACCGCCAGCUAAGGUCCCAAAGUCAUGGUUAAGUGGGAAACGAUGUGGGAAGGCACAGACAGCCAGGAUGUUGGCUUAGAAGCAGCCAUCAUUUAAAGAAAGCGUAAUAGCUCACUGGUCGAGUCGGCCUGCGCGGAAGAUGUAACGGGGCUAAACCAUGCACCGAAGCUGCGGCAGCGACACUAUGUGUUGUUGGGUAGGGGAGCGUUCUGUAAGCCUGCGAAGGUGUGCUGUGAGGCAUGCUGGAGGUAUCAGAAGUGCGAAUGCUGACAUAAGUAACGAUAAAGCGGGUGAAAAGCCCGCUCGCCGGAAGACCAAGGGUUCCUGUCCAACGUUAAUCGGGGCAGGGUGAGUCGACCCCUAAGGCGAGGCCGAAAGGCGUAGUCGAUGGGAAACAGGUUAAUAUUCCUGUACUUGGUGUUACUGCGAAGGGGGGACGGAGAAGGCUAUGUUAGCCGGGCGACGGUUGUCCCGGUUUAAGCAUGUAGGCUGAUUGUCCAGGCAAAUCCGGAUAAUCAAGGCUGAGGUGUGAUGACGAGGCACUACGGUGCUGAAGUAACAAAUGCCCUGCUUCCAGGAAAAGCCUCUAAGCAUCAGGUAACAUCAAAUCGUACCCCAAACCGACACAGGUGGUCAGGUAGAGAAUACCAAGGCGCUUGAGAGAACUCGGGUGAAGGAACUAGGCAAAAUGGUGCCGUAACUUCGGGAGAAGGCACGCUGGUGUGUAGGUGAAGUCCCUGCGGAUGGAGCUGAGACCAGUCGAAGAUACCAGCUGGCUGCAACUGUUUAUUAAAAACACAGCACUGUGCAAACACGAAAGUGGACGUAUACGGUGUGACGCCUGCCCGGUGCCGGAAGGUUAAUUGAUGGGGUUAUCCGUAAGGAGAAGCUCUUGAUCGAAGCCCCGGUAAACGGCGGCCGUAACUAUAACGGUCCUAAGGUAGCGAAAUUCCUUGUCGGGUAAGUUCCGACCUGCACGAAUGGCGUAAUGAUGGCCAGGCUGUCUCCACCCGAGACUCAGUGAAAUUGAACUCGCUGUGAAGAUGCAGUGUACCCGCGGCAAGACGGAAAGACCCCGUGAACCUUUACUAUAGCUUGACACUGAACAUUGAGCCUUGAUGUGUAGGAUAGGUGGGAGGCUUUGAAGCGUGGACGCCAGUCUGCGUGGAGCCAACCUUGAAAUACCACCCUUUAAUGUUUGAUGUUCUAACGUUGGCCCCUGACCGGGGUUGCGGACAGUGUCUGGUGGGUAGUUUGACUGGGGCGGUCUCCUCCCAAAGCGUAACGGAGGAGCACGAAGGUUAGCUAAUCCUGGUCGGACAUCAGGAGGUUAGUGCAAUGGCAUAAGCUAGCUUGACUGCGAGCGUGACGGCGCGAGCAGGUGCGAAAGCAGGUCAUAGUGAUCCGGUGGUUCUGAAUGGAAGGGCCAUCGCUCAACGGAUAAAAGGUACUCCGGGGAUAACAGGCUGAUACCGCCCAAGAGUUCAUAUCGACGGCGGUGUUUGGCACCUCGAUGUCGGCUCAUCACAUCCUGGGGCUGAAGUAGGUCCCAAGGGUAUGGCUGUUCGCCAUUUAAAGUGGUACGCGAGCUGGGUUUAGAACGUCGUGAGACAGUUCGGUCCCUAUCUGCCGUGGGCGCUGGAGAAUUGAGGGGGGCUGCUCCUAGUACGAGAGGACCGGAGUGGACGCAUCACUGGUGUUCGGGUUGUCAUGCCAAUGGCACUGCCCGGUAGCUAAAUGCGGAAGAGAUAAGUGCUGAAAGCAUCUAAGCACGAAACUUGCCCCGAGAUGAGUUCUCCCUGAGACUAUAAGUCUCCUGAAGGAACGUUAAAGACGAUGACGUUGAUAGGCCGGGUGUGUAAGCGCAGCGAUGCGUUGAGCUAACCGGUACUAAUGAACCGUGAGGCUUAACCUU
rnacentral:rRNA from 1 species